AGAGUUUGAUCCUGGCUCAGAUUGAACGCUGGCGGCAGGCCUAACACAUGCAAGUCGAACGGUAACAGGAAGCAGCUUGCUGCUUUGCUGACGAGUGGCGGACGGGUGAGUAAUGUCUGGGAAACUGCCCGAUGGAGGGGGAUAACUACUGGAAACGGUAGCUAAUACCGCAUAACGUCGCAAGACCAAAGAGGGGGACCUUCGGGCCUCUUGCCAUCGGAUGUGCCCAGAUGGGAUUAGCUAGUUGGUGAGGUAACGGCUCACCAAGGCGACGAUCCCUAGCUGGUCUGAGAGGAUGACCAGCCACACUGGAACUGAGACACGGUCCAGACUCCUACGGGAGGCAGCAGUGGGGAAUAUUGCACAAUGGGCGCAAGCCUGAUGCAGCCAUGCCGCGUGUAUGAAGAAGGCCUUCGGGUUGUAAAGUACUUUCAGCGGGGAGGAAGGGGAUGUGGUUAAUAACCGCAUCCAUUGACGUUACCCGCAGAAGAAGCACCGGCUAACUCCGUGCCAGCAGCCGCGGUAAUA
rnacentral:rRNA from 1 species